GACGAACGCUGGCGGCGUGCUUAACACAUGCAAGUCGAACGGAAAGGCCCUGCUUUUGUGGGGUGCUCGAGUGGCGAACGGGUGAGUAACACGUGAGUAACCUGCCCUUGACUUUGGGAUAACUUCAGGAAACUGGGGCUAAUACCGGAUAGGAGCUCCUGCUGCAUGGUGGGGGUUGGAAAGUUUCGGCGGUUGGGGAUGGACUCGCGGCUUAUCAGCUUGUUGGUGGGGUAGUGGCUUACCAAGGCUUUGACGGGUAGCCGGCCUGAGAGGGUGACCGGCCACAUUGGGACUGAGAUACGGCCCAGACUCCUACGGGAGGCAGCAGUGGGGAAUAUUGCACAAUGGGCGGAAGCCUGAUGCAGCAACGCCGCGUGCGGGAUGACGGCCUUCGGGUUGUAAACCGCUUUCGCCUGUGACGAAGCGUGAGUGACGGUAAUGGGUAAAGAAGCACCGGCUAACUACGUGCCAGCAGCCGCGGUGAUACGUAGGAUGCGAGCGUUGUCCGGAUUUAUUGGGCGUAAAGGGCUCGUAGGUGGUUGAUCGCGUCGGAAGUGUAAUCUUGGGGCUUAACCCUGAGCGUGCUUUCGAUACGGGUUGACUUGAGGAAGGUAGGGGAGAAUGGAAUUCCUGGUGGAGCGGUGGAAUGCGCAGAUAUCAGGAGGAACACCAGUGGCGAAGGCGGUUCUCUGGGCCUUUCCUGACGCUGAGGAGCGAAAGCGUGGGGAGCGAACAGGCUUAGAUACCCUGGUAGUCCACGCUGUAAACGGUGGGUACUAGGUGUGGGGUCCAUUCCACGGGUUCCGUGCCGUAGCUAACGCUUUAAGUACCCCGCCUGGGGAGUACGGCCGCAAGGCUAAAACUCAAAGGAAUUGACGGGGCCCCGCACAAGCGGCGGAGCAUGCGGAUUAAUUCGAUGCAACGCGUAGAACCUUACCUGGGUUUGACAUGGAUCGGGAGCGCUCAGAGAUGGGUGUGCCUCUUUUGGGGUCGGUUCACAGGUGGUGCAUGGCUGUCGUCAGCUCGUGUCGUGAGAUGUUGGGUUAAGUCCCGCAACGAGCGCAACCCUUGUUCACUGUUGCCAGCACGUUAUGGUGGGGACUCAGUGGAGACCGCCGGGGUCAACUCGGAGGAAGGUGGGGAUGACGUCAAGUCAUCAUGCCCCUUAUGUCCAGGGCUUCACGCACGCUACAAUGGCUGGUACAGAGAGUGGCGAGCCUGUGAGGGUGAGCGAAUCUCGGAAAGCCGGUCUCAGUUCGGAUUGGGGUCUGCAACUCGACCUCAUGAAGUCGGAGUCGCUAGUAAUCGCAGAUCAGCAACGCUGCGGUGAAUACGUUCCCGGG
rnacentral:rRNA from 1 species